AUGGAGUUGGACCUCAAGGAUGCCAUAGAAACCAUCACAGCUACACAAUGUCAAGUUACUGAAAUUCAGGGGACUCUAGUUAACUUGCAGCAAGCUAUGGCUGCGUUGCAACAGUCUGUUGAUCGCCCACAUAAUCAGCAGCGUGAUGAUGAUGAUGGUGAAGCUAGUGUUCAUGGUGGUAAUGAGGGUGUUGCAGCUGCUAAUGCUGCCAAUGUACAAGGGGCUACAGCACGUCGUGCACAAUUACAGCAAGCUAAUCGGGACCAGCAAGCUCCACACGAGCCGGUUGUUGCUGGUCAAGAUGGUGGUCGUGGUAAUGGAGGCCGUGGUGGUGGCCAUGCUACUGCAAUGCCCGUAGGCCGUGGAUUUGCUCCUCUUGGUGCGCGCCGUCGAUUUGAUAAUGAUGCUUUUGCACAACCAGCCAACCGUGAUGAUGAUGGUCUGGGCAAACCAAAGUUCACCGUCCCCAAGUUUGUUGGUUCUACUGAUGUUGAAGAGUACCUCAAUUGGGAGCUGAAGGUGGAAAAAUUAUGGCGCAUGCAUGAGUACACCGAGGACAGAAAAAUAAAACUUGCAUCUUCUAAAUUUGAUGACUAUGCUUUGCUUUGGUGGGAUAAUAUGGUACAGUCCAGAAUUGAAGAUGGUGAACGUCCCAUUGUUACAUGGAGAGCUAUGAAGGAAGAGAUGCGUGCUCGCAUUGUUCCACACAAUUAUAUUCGUUCUCUCUAUGACAAAUUGCAGAAUUUGAGGCAAGGUAUUUCUUCCGUGGAUGAAUAUUUUCAGGAGAUGGAGCUUAUUAUGCAGUGUGCUAGACUACGUGAAGAGCCUGAACAAACAAUGCAGCGAUUUCUCUCUGGUCUGAACUAUAACAUCAAGCGUAUUGUUCAUCUUCACCAAUAUUAUGACAUGACAGAUUUGUUACACCAAGCACGUGAGGCUGAAUUGCAAGUGGCCGAGGAUGCUAAAUUUGGUGGUUUCUAA
rnacentral:rRNA from 1 species